AUGUGUGGCAAACAGGCUUCCAUAUCGACUGAUCGUCCCAGUUGUCAUCGUAAAACAUUAAACACUCGGAGUGGAAAGAAGACUGCGGGAGGGGCAGCGGAAACACGGGGAGGUGAAAUGGAGGACAGGGAAACCAGACAAGGUGACUAUCUGUGCCAGUCUCUUUCAGACUGCUGACUACAUCACACUCCCUCUCUCUUCUCCAUCAUGGUUUAUUCAUUCCUCACCCCAGGGCUGGAAAACCUUCUGCUAACAGCCGUGUCAAGAAGUAGCCUAAAUAUGCUUAGUGGCAAAAGUUAUCUCUAUGUUAUGUUAUGUUAAUUGAACCAAAGAAGCGAGAUGGCUGUAGUUAAACGUUCAGUUAGAUUUGCUUGUGUACAAAUCUACUACAUCAUGCAAAAAAAUUAGAUUUUUUAGCUGCUGAUCUGCUAUUGUAAAAGACAACAAAUACAUUAAAUAAAGAGUUUUAAUAAUGUGUUUGUGAUGUAUAC
ensembl:lncRNA